CCUACGGGAGGCAGCAGUGGGGAAUUUUGGACAAUGGGCGAAAGCCUGAUCCAACAAUGCCGCGUGCAGGAAGAAGGCCUUCGGGUUGUAAACUGCUUUUGUACGGAACGAAAAGGUCUGCCUUAAUACGGUGGGCCCAUGACGGUACCGUAAGAAUAAGCACCGGCUAACUACGUGCCAGCAGCCGCGGUAAU
rnacentral:rRNA from 1 species